rnacentral:misc_RNA from 1 species
UUUCCGUAGGUGAACCUGCGGAAGGAUCAUUACCUGAACAGGGGAGUCACCCGGUCGUCAGACCGUGCAGCUCCCUUGCUUACACCCUUGUCUAUGAGAACCCUUUUGUAGUUUCCUCGGCGGGUUCGCCCGCCGGCAGGAACCCCUUCAACCAUUUUGCAUCAGCAUCAUACUUCUGAUCUAAAUAAAAAUAAUCACAACUUUCAACAAUGGAUCUCUUGGUUCUGGCAUCGAUGAAGAACGCAGC